GCGGGGGUCGCCCAGCCUGGUCAAAGGCGCAGGUUGCGUCGCAUUAGUUAAUGCGAAGCUUGCGAGACUGAGGCUCCUGUCCCUUAGGGGUUCGUGGGUUCAAAUCCCACCUCCCGCACCA
rnacentral:tRNA from 1 species